rnacentral:lncRNA from 1 species
AAACCACAAGACUAGACAUGUAAACAUGAGGUCCCGAUGUAGUAGUAGGUUAAUAUAUCCACUGCAUCAGUAGUUUUAAAAACUUGGCUCUCGUGUAUGACUAGAUGGCCCUACAGCUAAAAGGUCUUUAAAUUAACUUGUUAAUACAGAAAAGAGUAUUGCCUUCAUUUGAAGACUUUGAGUAAUUUGAGGCGAGGAUUCAAAUCAUUACCAAGAGUCGAGACUCUGGAUAGUGAUCAGCACAUGGAUAAGUUAUAUUGGCACAUAGAGGGAAAGUAGAAGCAACAGAUGAAGAUAAGAGGUACAAAUGAAACUGGAGGUUGUUAUGAAAAAACAUGCUUUCACUUGCUAAUUUACUGCCCAAGCUCUAAGCUGGUAAGAAAUAGGCUCCAGUUCCAGUUGGAAGCAAAUGACAUGACAUAAAGUAGAUAGACAUCUUGCUUGUUGAAGACAUGACAUUAAUAAGAAAAACCAUGACACUGCAUCAAUGGAGUUAUUUAUAGAGUUAAAAAGAGAAUCCUUCAAUAACACAAAUGUCCAUAAAAGUUAUAAGGUUUAGAAAAAGAAAAGAUUAAGUUUCAAAGAUUCUUCUAUAUGAAGCUAAAAGUUAAUGUUAACUGUGGCUUACCAAAGAAUCGUAAGAGAGACGUAACAAGCAUGACCAAAAAAAUUGCAAGUAAAAUUAAGCAGAACUUACGCUUUGACUCCUUUUACUGAUCCUUUAUAAGCCCUUCCAGGGUCAUCCUCAGAUAUCUUGCAUAGUUUCCCCUGCAUGAUGUAUUCAUACUUGUCAGCAAUGGAUUUCCUAUUACCCUGACAAUGGUUAUCACUGGUCAGAGACUCAAAGCUAUUAUAAGAGUAUGAAAUGCCAAAAAAAAAAAAAAAAAGUAUGAAAAACUAGGGAAAAAAGCAAAAAGAGAGAUUCUGAGUUGAAAGGAUAUUAUCCAGCUAAAAAUUAGUCCUCUAGAAAAGACCCAAAGUUCAAAGGAGUAAAUUGCUGGCUUUCUAGCAAAUGACAUUUAAGUACUAAUAACACUAGACUGGAGAAUCCAAAGGCAGCAAGAGAUAUAUAUCUCUAUAGUUCAAAAUGCUAAUCACUGGUUACGGCAAAACCAACUUGAUGGGUUCAGAAAAGAGAAAAUUUUCCUCUUUGUUAUCUACAAAAACCUUGAAGCAUCCAGACCUCCAAGUGGAUUGCUGAUUCUACUCAAGACAGCUCAGGCUUACAAUGGAGAGAGCAUGGAGAAAAGGUGACGAAUGAUAUAGAAAAGCAUCAAGUUAUGGAGAGACUAGAGAACAAAAAUCUACUGCCAUUAAAAUAGGCAAGAGAUUAUUAACGGCAGUAGAUUGUGAACAAAAACAGGAAGAUCAUACCAGGGUAUGAUAUCCUGUAUCAGGAGUUCCAUCCAAAUUUAAUGUAGUAGGUAUUGCCAUGGUAAACACCCUUUCACAGGGUAUAUUUCAGUAUUCACAUCUAGAUGCAUGAACAUGUCAAAUCUUUUGCUUUGUGCUUCAGUCCAAGUUACUAAAGAAAGAAAGUAAACUGUGAGUUAGAAAUAUCCACGAAAUAAUGUAGCUGAAGACAGCAGGAACCACAUAAUUCGACUACUUAACUUCAUUAGGGCACACUUGACACCGUAAUCCAUGAGCUCACAAACAAAAAAUUAAAAGAUUGUUUGCAUGUCAGAAGAUAAUUCUUAUCUUAGGGCACCUCACAGAAUGAGAAUCCUAAGGACGUCCGCCCAAUUUCACGAUUGCCUAUCUGAGGAAAGGAGUAAAAUUCCUCUUCCAUUCACUGGUCCCUAAUUCUGAUACGUUUCCAUUGUUUUAUCAAAUGGUUAAAUUUAAAACUCAAGCCAUUUCAAACAACUAGAAACUUCUUCCAAAGCAAUAAAUGAAUUCAGUAGGUGCAUGUCAUGUGCCAUAUAGCUCAUUCUCCGGCCUAAUACAUCCCCAGUCAAUUCUUAAAGCAGCAACGAGCUCAACUUAAGUUAGCCCAGCAUAUAACGAUUGGCACACAAGAAAGUAAACAUGCCCCAGGUAACAACACCCUUUGUAUAGGGUAUUCUAACACUCCCCUUCCCGAAUGCUAACAUCAUUCUCUCAAGUUUGGAGUGACCAGAGGACAUUGCGAAAGCUCUUUAAGCGAUCUCUCCUCUUCACAUUUUUCCUUGUUUUUAUCCCUUCCGGCGUCACAUUUUUUGGUCACACCAACAUUUGACCGCCAACAAAGACCUAGGGCAAUGAAACUUCAAGAUUAAGCAGUCUCAAAAGGAGCGAAAACUACUCCAUAGUCAGCUCCAUAACCGCGACACAGCAAGAAACCAGGAGCAAGAUUUCAGAAACCACAAACCAACUGGAGAAAAAAGAAGAACAUUCCACGCACCGAAUCUCUCAACAAGCACAAACACAACCGAUACAAACAAACCAACUCUCUUCGUUUGCUAGGUCCCAUUAACAGACUCAACAGUAAAUUGGCGUCUGCGCCAAAGAUGAAUGAAAAACGGAAAAAAAAGAACAGUUUUUUGACGAACCCAUAACGAGAAAAUUAGCAGAGAAGAAGCAAACGAGCAACAGAAAAAGCAUGGGCAUACCUUUGUCGAACUUAUUGCCGUCGGGGGUCAAGCCUCUCGACAUGAAGACAUCGUCGAGAAGCAUCAUCUUUCGCCUAUCGAGAACCCAAUUGAGGUUAUAUGAGAUUCACACCCGAAAGAACGAACCAGAUAGAGAGAGAGAGAGAGAGAGAGAGAGAGAGAGAGAGAGCGCCAUACCAGAGCAGACAAACGGAGACGUUUCGACUGGCGUGAAGGAAGGGACACGGAGAAGGAACUAAUUCUACUAUGAUUAUAAAAGAAUCACCUUCUACUGUUGGAAUAUAUUACAAGGUGACUCUUCACAUUCUUCCUAAUUCAAUUAUGAACAUUUUAAUUUAUAAAUUCAGUACUAAAUUUUUUUAUGUUAUGCCAACCGAGUAGCUAAUUUCACUAAGAUGGAUACUUAGCGUUUUAUAUGGUAUGGUUGGUGUUAAUCUAAAUAAUUUUUAAUAAAAUAUUAUUACUAUUAUUAUUAUUAUUAUUAUUUGAAAUUAUUUAAUUUUUCUUUUUUUUCUUUUUCCUCUAGCUAGUCGCUAAAGCCUCGACGACAGGCCAAAGCAAGAACCAACAAGAGGACCUCACUUACCUCUAGUGAAGCCCACCCUAUCUCACUGUCAUUAGGCAAAGUUGGCCUCAUCAUGGUAGGGCAAAGUUGAUCUCACCCAGCAAUGGCGACAUUCUCCCUCGCUAAUGGCUGAUGAGGGCAAGCUUCGCUAGAGGCUGGCGUGGUCACGUCUCUAGCUAGUCGCAGAUGCCCCCACAAUUGAUUAAAGGAGGAAGAAAGGGUAUAUUUAAAUAUUGUUAAAAGUUAUCCAUGUCACCGUUAUCCUCCUCAGUGAUUUUCGAUUAAAAUUGUUUAGACAAACUAAAUUGACAAAAAGGGAAAAAAUUAUGAUUUGAUUAAUAAAAUUUAAAGGUUAGAGAUUAAAUUGAUAAAAUUAGAAUAAGAUUAGGACUUUUUAGAUAACUUUUCCAAAUGAAAAUGGAUUAAAUUCAUCAAGUUGUAUGCGAUCUUUUUCGAUCCGAUCCGAUCAUACCCGCUCGUUUCAUACGCCUAUUCACCAUUUAGGACAUACCGAACCUAAAAUCCGAAGUGGAGGCAUGGAGGCUUUCUCUGUCUCCGUUUCGCUCUGUACGACGGCGUCUCCACCAAGCGCCCGCCACGAGCAUCGUCACCUGCGGGCUUCGCAACAGUACGAGAAGGCCACUGUGGAGGUCGAACGUUGUUGUCGACGGAGGCCACACGAGCCGUCCAGUCCCUCAUGCUGCCCAAAUCCACUCUUCGGUUGAACCACGCCCUCGGCACGAUCCUCGCUCGGCUCUCGUAAUCCCAUCUCUCGAACGCCUUCGCUGAGCUCAAGAGACUGAACGAGGUCGACUUGGCCCUCGAGGUAUCGCCUUUUACGCAGCCGGGGCCUUCCCUUGUUGGAGUUUGUGGUUCUGGGUCUUUAUAUUCUUUGCUUUUCUCGUUGGUUUUUGAAUUCUCGCUUUGUAACUUUGGCGUGUGGUGUGUGAACAAUAUCUGCCCGUGAAAAUAGGAGUUGGAAGUUUAGAAGGCCAUUUUUGAUGUCUGUGUGAGUUACAUUCUUUGAUUGUAGCGGAUGCUUUAACUGGUAUGAGCAGAGCAAGUGAUCUGGCAACUGAGUGUUGCUAUGAAGUUCAGUGAAUUCGUUUUUCGUAUUGGUUAUUGGUGAUUCAACCGGUACAUCAAGCUAGUGAGUGGCAUGGGUGAAUUGUAGAGAACGGGUUGAGUGCUGACCAAUGAGAUUGGGUUACCUUGUAACAAUGAUUCUUGUAGGCUUUUUUGGCCUUAUAGAUUUUAACCGUGUUUAGGAUUUUCUUAGUUUGGGUUUGGGUACUCCUUUUAAUCUUCUACACUAGGCGUUCAUAAAGAAAGCAGAACCACUGUGCAGAUUAGUCUUAAAUUAAAAGAAAGCAGAAAUGCAGGUUUUACAUGUUCAUCAAGGGAAACAGCAUAGGGCAUAUUCAAACUACUGUUCUCAUUAAUAUUUUGAGCAAAAAAAGAAGUAAAGUAAUACACUCACCAUGUACGUACGGGUGGUGUGAAUUGUGGAUGCACUAUUUCAAUAUUCUCUUUUUACUGUUCUCAUUCUAUCUAAAAGGAUUCCAGCUAUAGGUCCCCGAGUACAUGUGCAAGGAGGAAUGUUAUGGAACUGAUCUUGCAUUGCUUUGCGAAAUGAUCCAACUGUUGGGAAAGAACAAAUGGUUGCUCUCGCUGAAGUUGUUUUCUCUGGACUUCUGAAAGAAGGGACUGAACCUGACACAAGGCCUUAUGCGGAGAUGAUUGGAGCAUAUCUUAGAGCAGACAUGAUUGAAAAGGCAAUGCAGACUUAUGAGAAGAUGAAAGCACCUGGUUGUACCCCAAAUGAAUUCUGGAUGCACUAUUUCAAUAUUUCCUUUUUAUUGUUCUAAUUCUAUCUUAAAAGAUUCCAGCUAUACGUCUUCGGGUAUGUGUGCAAGGAGGAAUGGUGCGAAACUGAUCUCGCAUUGCAUUGCGACAUGAUCCAACUAUUGGGAAAGAACAAAAUGGUUGCUCUUGCUGAAGUUGUUUUCUCUGGACUUCUGAAAUAAGGGAUUGAACUUGACACAAUGGCUUAUGCCGAGAUGGUUGGAGUAUAUCUAAGAGUGGACAUGAUUGAAAAGGCAACGCAGAUGUAUGAGAAGAUGAAAGCAGCUGGCCGUACCCCAAAUGAAUUUACCCUGAUGAUUCUCAUAAGAAAUCUAGAGAAGGCCAGAGAAACAGAUCUGGUAGAGUUUGUGAAGAGAGAUUGUGUUCAAUAUUUGGAUUCUCCUAAAAAGUUCUUAGAAGAUGUCAACAGAAAAUUUGUAGGAAUUCACUCUUCCAUACUCAUUCUAGCAUUAUGUUCUCUAUAUGCAUAUCCUUCUGCAUGGGCUUCUCUCUGAUCCUUCCUGUUUUAAGCAGCUUUAAGAUUAUCUUUUGAUACGAAUGCUCAUGUCUCUUGGAUGAUAUCUGGGGAUGAAUUUUCUUUAAGGGCAGUCAUCAUUGCUCAAAAAUGAAUGUUUGACACAACAUAAACUAAAUCUUUAUAUUCUUGGCUUGUCCAGGUAGGAGUUCUGCACAUGCUACCCCUAACCACAGUAUUUUCUGGCCAGUGGUUAAAUUUGUUCUUCGCUUUCUUCCGAAAGUUGUUCUGCUUCCUUGCAUGUUCUGCAUUUAUAAUAAGAAUGCGUUCCUUCUUUACAUUACUAGUCGCUUAUAAUGAAUUCUUGGGAUUUACAAUGUAAUUCUGUUGUUUGAGUCCAGUGUUCCAUUCACUAACGAAAAUUUCCUGAGGCAGGGAGAAGUAUUAUUGCGAUAGCUCUAGCUUUUGCUAUCCUUUCGCUUUCUAGAUGCUUGAACUUUACUUUUGACAUAUCUUCAUGGGAAACUUUGCCUCUUGAAGAUGAGGUUCUCAACUUCUCUUCUUGUUCUUUUACAGCCGAAUAGGAGAUCGAUUGACCUAGGACUCACGGCUAUGCAAGCAUGGGCAGCUGCAAGUCCUGCUCCAGCAAUGAAAACAGGCGCCACUUUUGAACGACUUCUGUCAAAAUCGUUACCCAUGGUUCACAGCAGGAUCUUGAAUAUUUUCUUCUAUUGUGAUAUAGAUACGCAUUCAAAUUAGUUAAAUUGUGAAAAUUCAAUCAUUACUAGAUUAACUCUGUCCUAUUUUAACCGAACGUGUAACUAUUCAAUCAAUUCGUUGGGUGCUAUGUGAUUUUGUUAAUUCUCGAUUUGAAUGUUUAUCUGGUAUAUUGCAAAUUUAUUGAGUUCUUCGGCUAGGUUGAUUUUUCUCGGAUUGAUGUAUAAUCACUAGAUAUGUUGAAGAGAGUAACUUGUAUGAUUAUUAAUUUGAGCCGCCUUAUUCGUUAAGCUUUUGACACGCUAAAAGGUGAGGAGAGACAAGUAGCGUGAUUGCCUCCUUUGAAUGUAGCCCUCAUUUUAAGGUGGUUUAAGAGGAUCUUAUUUUCCUAACCUGUCUAAGCGCGCACACAUGACUUCUUAAAUAGUAUCUCAUUGAAUAAUAAUAUCUAGUGUCUAUUUACACGUGGAAUCUAUAAACACUUAAAUAAACUAAUCAUGGAUAUUGAAGUUUCCUAGCUUGAAACUCAGUAAUUACAGGUGAAUGUGCAAGUUGAAUUGAGAUAUGGUCGAUUUGACAAUAAAACAUCAACUCAGCACAAAGCAAUCAACAUCAUUCGUGCAUAAGUUCGUGCAUAAUAUACUUUUCUUUUGUCAUUUAAUACAUAAGAUGCCUUACUUGCGUUCAUUCGCAGAAUAGUUGGUUAGAGAUUCUUUUUCCUAGUUAAGUUUUGAAAUAAAUACUACUUUCUAAAAAUCAAGCAAGGAAAAUCUCAAAACACACAUGUAUAAUAGUUGGUUCAUGAUUCUUUUUCCCAAUUAGGUUUUGGAAUAGACACUAUUUUCUAAUAAUCAAGUAAGGAACAAUCUCAUCACACACACGCACACCUAUAACAGUUGGUUCACAAUUCUUUCUCCCAGUAGGGUUUUGGAAUAGGUACUAUUUUCUAAAAAUCAAACAAAGAAUAAUCUCAAUACACAUAUAUCAUAGUUGGUUCAUGGUUCUUUUUCCCAAUUGGGUUUUGGAAUAGAUACUAUUUUCCGAAGGUCAAGCAAGGAACAAUCUCAUCACAUGCACACACAUAUGUAACAAAAGGUUCACCAUUCUUUUUCCUAGUUGGGUUUAGGAAUAGAUACUGUCUUCUAAAAAUCAAGCAAGGAACAAUCUUAUCACAUGCACAUAUAAUAGUCACAAUUCUUUUUCCUAGUUAGGUUUUGGAAUAGAUACUAUUUUCUAAAAAUCAAGUAAGGAACAAUCUCAACAUAUAUAUAUUGGCUUGUGGCUUUUUUUCCAGUUGGGUUUUGGAAUAGACUGUUCUCUAAAAUUAAGCAAGGAAUAAUAUCAAUCCCAUUAUUCGUCUAUAAAUUUUGUUGUACCAGAAAUUAUGUUAGAGAGGAUCAAUAAAAUUUAAACUAAGCAAAAACAUGGCAUUUAGCUCUAUUUUGGAUUUGGGGAAUAAAUAGAACAUCCUAGACUUUGUCAUAUUGAGUCUCACGCUUUAGGUCCUUCUUAUUAUGUUUGCACCCCUUAAAAAAAACAACGAACAUUGCAUUGUUAACUAUAGAAUAAUUAAUGCACGCUUUGUUACAAUAUGCAAUUUUAAUCCUUAUGCCAAUAAAAUAAUGGAUGGCUGUGAGAAUACGGUGGAAAUCGCACGAGGGGAGAAAAAUCCGUUAAGAUAUCCAAGCGAAGCAAAACAAUAUAAAGAAAAAAAAAUGAUCACAACUCUUCUAAUUGAUUACAAGAGAGUCAAUUUCAAUCAUUACAGAUUUGUUUCAGGUUUGCUAAAAGGCUAGCUUCCCUAUCCUUUCCAAGUAUCUUGGUUUUAUCGGCAACCGGAUUCAUUGAUUUCUAUCGGACAGGCAUUUAAUUAGUUAUUCUUAAGGGUGCAAUGUUAAAGCUUUUUCUAUUUAAGAGUUACAUGAUUUAUGACCCUCAAGGAAGUUGCUCAAUUUAUCAUGGUGAUCAAGCCAAAAAUACCAAAAAGGAAUCAAUUCAUCACAAAGCUAGGUAGUUAGUGACGAAAUUUAAAGUCGAAAUUUAGAGAAUACUUUUGUCUGUCCUUGCCACAUCCCAAUUGACCUCACAAAUGUCAUUGCGUGAUUCAACAACAAGCUUUAGCUUAUUGAUCAUCCACAAACUGUUAUCUCUAGUGGAGUUCAAAUGAGCACAAUCUUUAAAAUUAUUCCUGAAUCAUAUAACUUUUGUUUCAAAUGCUUAUGUAAGUUAUAUUGAAAACAAAUUAUGUUAACAAAGUCAAGGACAUCCAUUUGAUUUACAAUUAAAAUAAGAUGGUAAAUAACAACAAUAAUAUGUCAUCCAAUUAAUAAGUUGAUUGAUGAAGUAUAUUUAUGGAGAUUAGAGAUUUCCUUGUUAGAAAAUAUUAUUAGAUAUAUUAUUAGAUAUUAGGGAUAUUAUUUGGUAUUUCGUGAUUUAAAAAAAAAAAACCAAUUGAGUAAAGAUGUAGUCUUUAUUGAUUCUAUCUCCCUCUCUCUUAAAGAUCCUAUAAUAUUUACAUGAUAUCAGAGCCACCGAGAGAAAAGCAAUUAAAUCAAACCUUAGCUUUUUCUGUUUUUAUGCUGUCUUUAGUCAUCUCAUGUUCAAUAACUUUCUGAUAUUGUCGGCAUUCAACAACACUACUAUGGACGUUUUUUGUUGCAGUACUCUCUUCUAAUAACGACCACCAUUGAUGAGUGAAGUCGUCGUCAAAUAUCUAGGUAGCUGUGAGCAUCAGAGUCAAGCACACCUUCAUCAAACAACCAAAGAUGAGCGUCGUGGGGUGGUGUCAUCAAGUAUCCAGGUAGCUGUGAACACCGGAGUCAAACACACUUUCAUCAAGUAGCCAAAGAUGAGCACUGUGGGGUGAUGUGGUUUAGUUUGCUGCAAUUCAAGUUGGGCUUCCACACAAUUCUAUCAAAAUUGUAUGAGAAAGAUAUGUCAACUUUCUAAGCAUGUGUUGCUUUAGCGCUUGUCAAAUCUGGUUUGUUUAGUGUAAGGUCAGAUUUACACGGUGUCUGAUCACAGACUUUCAAAGAAAGUUGCACCAAUCAUACGCAAGCUGCAUGCUUAACUUGAGGGGGGAGUGAUGAAGAAUAUUUAUGGAGAUUAGAGAUUUCCUCGUUGUAGAAUAUUGUUAGAGAUAUUGUUAAAUAUUAUGGAUAUUAUUUAAUACUUAGUGAAUUAAAAAAAAAUAGCCAAUUGAGUAAAGAUAUAGUCUUUACUCAUUUUUUUCUCCCUUCUCUCUUGAAGAUCCUAUAAUAUUUACAUAGAUCAUUUAUAAUUUGCAACAGAGCUUAUUUGAUUGAAUGAACAAAUUUCACUUAACACAAAUGAAUAUCACUUAAGUUCAAAUAUUACGAUUAACAUACUUCACUCACUCUAGUGUUAUUUUAUCUUACAUCUUUGUUUCUGCAUGGCCCUCUCUCUGAUCCUUCCUGUAUUUAGCAGCUUUAUGAUCAGAUAUGAAUUGCUCGUGUCUCUUUGAUGUUAUCUGGAAUUGAAUUUUCCUUAAAGCCAGUAGUCAUUGCUCAAAAAUUGGGUGUUCGACGCGACGCGAAAUAUAGCUUUAUACCCUCGUAUUGUUCAAGAGUUCUGAACAUGCUAACCCCUAACUGCAGCACGUUCUGUCAAUCAUCCACUUUAUUCUUCACUUUCUUUCGAGUGUUGUUUCGCAAGAAAUUUACCAAAAAAAUUUUAAACCUAUUAUAAUUGUGCCUAUUUAAUCUUAAUUUUUUUUAAGUUAAGUUAAUCUUAAACCUUUUACAAUUGUGCCAAUUCAAUCCAUUAGGCCAAAUUUGACCUACCGGCAUUCACAUGACAAUUUUUUAAUAAUAUUUUAUUUAUUCGAAUUAUUUUAUUUUUUUUUCUUUUCUUUUUUCUCUUCUUCCACUUUGACUUAUUUUCCCCGUAGUGGCUGGCAAGGCUCUAGAAAGGAUCACUGCCCUCGUCCAACCUCACUGACCUUGACCACGGCCUUGCUGCAGGCAAAGGUGGCCUCGCCGGCGGCUGGCAAGGCCAUGGCGAUCUUCAGCCGUGGUUGUUGAGGCCAUGGCGGCCUAGCCUUCAUACCAAGAAUUGUUUUGCUUCCAUGCGUGUUCUGCGUUUAUACUAAGAACGUAUUCCUUCUUUUCACUACCAGUUGCUUAUCAUGAAAACUUAUGGAGGCUGAGAGAAAUAUUAUUGUGACGGGUCUAGCUUUUAUUGUCCUUCCCUUUGUUUAUGCCUAAACUUUACUUUUGACAUAUCUUCACUUUAAACUUGGGAUCUUGAAGACGAACUUCUUAACCUCUAUACUUAUUCUUUUCCAGCCGAAGGGGAGAUCGAGUGAUCCUGUUUGAGGACUUUCAGCUAUGCAGGCACGGGCAGCUCGAAGUUCUGUCCAGCCAUGAAACGACGCACCGCUUUUGCCCACUUCUAUCGAAAUCAUUGCCCAUGGUUUGUAGCAGGAUCUUGAAUUUUUUUUUUUUAUAGACAGUGAAAUUAAUCAGUUCUAUCUUUGAGAGAAGGAAAACGGAGGGGGAGAAAAGGGGAAAAUUUUAAGACUAUAAAAUUCAAAUUAGUGCGUAUUUCCUUUGUAUUUUCCUCCCCCGUUCCAAAUAUAGGGAAAAUAUCAUGUACACUAAUUCAAAAUUUUUUAAUCUGUGAAAUUACAAUCAUUACUGGAUAUGACUCUAUCGUAUCUUAAUUAAACGUAUAGCACUGCAGUCAAUUUGUUGGGUGGGAUGUGGUUUUGUUAGUUCUUGAUUACUGGACAUGUGGAAGAGAGUAGCAUGUAUAAUAUUAUAAAUUUGAACCAUCUUAUUCUUUAACCUUUUGACACUCGAAAGGGCGAGGGGAUGCAACUACCACGAUUACCUCCAUUCAACGUAACCCAAAUAUAAUUAUAAAUUCAGCCGGAUGAGUUCUCAAUUUUAAGUUAAUUUAAGAGGAUUUUAUUUUCCUAACAGGAGGAUAACCUACUCAUCCUAUACAAGCACACUCCUAUGACUUGUUAGAUAGUAUCUUAUUGAGCAAUAACAUCAAUUGUCUUGUUAGAUGUAGUAUCACUAAAGAAUCCAAUAAACUAAUCACGGAUAUCGAAAUUUCAUAAUUCGAAUUCCAGAAGUGGAUGUGCAAAUGAAAUUGAGAUAGGACCGUUUGGACGAUAAAACAUCAACCCAACACAAAGCAGCAAGCAUCAUCUGUUCACGCAAGAGAUGCUUUUCUUCUAUAAUUUAAUGCACGAGAUACCUUACUUGUGUUCAUUCGCCGAAUGGGUUCACAAUUCUUUUUCCCCGCUGGGUUUUUGAAUAUAUACUUAUUUCUAACAAACAAGCAAGGGACCAUCUCAAUAUAUUUGUCAUUAUUUGUCCUAAACAUGUUGCACUCAGAGUUAUAUUAGAGAUAAUUGAUAAAAUUCAACCUCAACAAAAAUAUGGCAGUUAGCUCCACUUUGUAUCCAUGGAACAAAUGGAACAUCCGAGGUUUCGUUCUAUUAAGUCUCUUGCUUCAAAUCAUUCUCAUUCUAUUUGCACCCCUUAGAAAGAAAACAAAAAACAAUCAUAUCGUUUUCCUCUUGUGGUUAGCCUAUUUGAUAGCCGAUUCAGUAGUUGUAUUUGGGAUCGGGCUUAUCUCUCACAAUGAAGGCAGUUUAUGCGCUCAUGUAGCUGAAGUAGAUAGAGCACUUCGGGCAUUUUGGGCCUCAUUUCUCUUGUUACAUCUUGGCGGUUCGGACACCAUCACUGCAUUUUCUCUCGAGGACAGUUCGCUUUGGCGGCGGCACUUGCUCAAUCUCACCUUCCAGGUCAGUGCCGCCAUCUAUGUCUUUGUGCAAAUAUUUCCCAGCUACAAGUCCCUGGUGCUCCCAACAAUGCUGAUUUUUCUUGCUGGGGUCAUAAAAAAGGUGGAGAGGACACUAGCACUUAAUCUCUCAAGCCUCCCAAGGCUUAGGGAACGGGUGCUCUCACAGGAUGUGGCUCUUGAUGAUGAAAGUAUCUUUGACGAUGAAGAUAUCGUUGCCGAACUGGAUGGAUAUUCUCAUGGUGAAGAAGAAGCAAAGCUUCCCGAGAGCAUUGUAGUGAAACAUGCUUAUUACUUCUUUCAAAUCUCUAAACUCUUCCUCACAGAUCUCAUCUUCACAUAUAGACAACGUUAUAUAAGCAGAAGAUAUUUUCGCAGCGUGUCUGCGGUGGAUGCGUUGAGGGUAAUAUCAGUCGAACUCCAUUUCAUUUAUGAGGUGCUCCACACAAAAGCAUUGACAAUACGUUCCAAGUGGAGCUACGUUUUCCGCUUCAUAGCCUUCAUUGUCGUUGUGAUGGCUUUUGUCUUCUUCAAUCGCUUGAAAAAGCAUCAGCUCCCUAAACUCGAUGUGAAAAUUACGUAUUUACUUCUUUUUGGAGGGAUUGCUCUUGAUGUGAUCGCAGUGCUCAUGCUCGUUUUCUCUGACUGGACUGUUGCGAAAAUCCAGUGGCACAAAACAGGAUCAUCUAAACUAAAUUCAUUUCUCUACCGCCUACUAUCCACUGCAGAUGACCUACGGAAGCCCCGAUUCGCCAAAUGUGAAGCAGAGCCUGACAACAAGGUUACUUAUGCGGUCUUAGAUACUCCAUUAUUAAUUCGAAGGUGGUCAGAAUCUAUUUGUGCUUGCAACCUUUUAUCUGAGAGUUUAAAGAAGAGUCCGCGGAAGAUGUAUAAGCACGGCUGGCAAUGGGGAAACAUCGCCUUUUCUAAUAUCUGCAGCUUUCCAUUUUAUAUGGCUGAUAAAACCAUCUCUUGUUUCCAUCAAGCUGUUAUUUCAAUCGCUGAAGGCUAUGGUCUGAUGAUAAUGGAUGGAAAAAGAUCGGUGAUUGCGAAUACGAGGUACGUCUCAACGAAUCCAUUUAUUUUGAAGUUAUGGAUUUUUAUCUUUGAGGAGCUGAGACGUAAAUCCAACUACACACUUGAUCCGGAUUGGAGUCCGGAGAGCGAUUGGAGUAAGAGGAGAGAUUGGACGACGCUGAACAAAAAUCUUUGGAUUGACCAACAUCACCGACCUAAUGAGCUGGAAAUUGAUGACUGGGGGGAGGUAGAUAGGACGAAGGAGAUAUAUGAGGCUAGAGGUAAUUGGUUUCUCAGGAUUCUCCAGAGUGAGGCCCGUCUUCGUAGCCUCAAUGAUUGUGACACGGAGGGCAUACACGAGGCUACAGAUAAUGAGUUUCCCCAGAAUAACCAGGAUAUCCGUGGGAGGGUAACUAUGCCUAGUGUCACCGAUGUUAAUUACUACGAGAGUGUUAUAUUGUGGCACCUUGCUACCGAAAUCUGGUAUAACAGAGAGGAUCCCACACCCGGAAAUGACGAAAGCAAUGAUAAAAGGGAAUUCAGCAAGAUUCUCAGCGAUUAUAUGUGUUAUCUUUUAUUUAAUCAGCCUAAUUUGGUGUCUGCUGUGGCCGGCAUUGCCCAAAUUAGAUUGCCAGAUAUAUUGCGGAUUCUACGGAGGGACUUCCGUCCCAACAAUGUGAAGGGCUUAUGCAGGAGAAUUUUUUCAUAUGUCCCAGAUAUCGCUUAUACGGGCGCUGAAGUAAAGGUGGGUUACUUGAUCUCCGGUGGGGCCAAAUUGGCCAGAGAAUUAGAAGAGUUCGGGGAAGGGAAGUGGGAGGUGAUGAGCGGAGUGUGGGUGGAGAUGCUGUCAUAUGCGGCAGGUCAUAUUAAGGGAGAGGCACAUGCGCAGGUGCUGAGUAAAGGUGGAGAGCUUCUAACCUUUGUUUGGUUGUUAAUGACUCAUUUUGGUUUGUUUCACAGACCUGAAUGGGCCCCGUAUUAUAUUUUGCGAAUGUGUUGAUUCACUAUCAUGAUGGUGAAUCAUUAAUCUUCUAAAUCCCAAGCCUUCACUAGUGAAUUUUAUCAUUCCGUGCGAUAUUAUUAAUUCCCUCCAUUUGUAUUUCUUAUAUCUUUUACGAAUAAAAUCGGUGUAUAUUUUUUUAUCAUAUUUUAUUACGGAAGCUAUCUUUCAACAGCUACAGAAUAAUCAAUGCAUGAUUUAUUUCGACGUGCAAUUUUAUGUCUGGUGAUUUCUGUUUACAUGCAAUCCCUGUGCUAAUAAAAUAACGGAUGGCCUGUGCGAAUAUAAUGAAUACUGAAUAAUAUACACAAUGGAUGAAGACUGCAUCAAAGACAUAAAAGCGAAGCAAAGAAGCGGUGUCCGGUCAAAACAAGACAGAAAAAAUUAUCAUCAUAGAUACAACAAUAAAAAUCAGUUUCCAUCGUUACAGAUUUCUUCCAGCUUCACUUUGCUCUCCAAUUAUCAUGUUUUUUCAGCAACUAGAUUCAAUAAAUUUUUAUAAGACAACCAGUCUGAUUAAUUAUUCUUAAUUUUAUUUAGCGAGUUACAUGAUUAUAUUCUAGGCCUAGAGAAAGUUGCUCAAUUCACCGCGGUAAAGCUAAAACUACCGGGAAGGAUCAAUUUACCACAAAGCUAUGCAGUCGAAGUCAAAAAAAAUUAUGUAGUUCGAGAUGGAAAAAUAAUUUCGAAAUUGAAACAAAAAAUGUAUUUUCUGUUUAUCCUUGCAACGUUCGCACUUAUACAAUAUGAAUGCAAAGAUAGGAACAGAAAUUCAAAAAAAAAAACAAAAAAACAAAAAAAACAAAGCUUUUACAAUAAAGAUAAGGGAUGCACAGGGAGUAAAGCAAAAGGGACAGCAGAAGUUAACAUUCAGGCCCUAAAUCGCUUGCUGCAGUGAAAUUCCAUGCACUUCCAACACACACUUUCCCAGAUGCAAUACAAUGAACAAAAUCAGAUUACUCAAUAAGCUGCACGAAAAGUCCCUCUGAAACCCAGAUUCACAUCAAGGCCAAAGUGAAAAAGAUUAGCUUCCCAAUUUCAAUUUUUCCCUAGUGAUUUGAUCUGAAAAGAACAAAGAGGAAGGACAAAAUUACCUUCUCAGCGGACGCAUUGUCCUCAUUCAAGAUUCUCUGAGAAGAAGAUCAACUCGUCGAGUAUCACUCCUCUUUGUUCUUUGACAGAACCUGACCUUUCUAACUGAUCAAAUUCCAUCCUGUCCAAAACCUCUAACUGAUCAAGGCCCUAUAGCACUGGUUGAUUUUGAUAUGCCUCAGGCUCUUCAAUUUUUGACAAUUAUCAACUGAUCGUUCAACAGAGUGGCACCUGUAGAGAGAGAACUUUUCCAAUGAUUCCAACUUGCAGACGACUUGGAUGUUGGGUAGCCUUUGGCACUCGGAAAACUCUCUUGUGGAUGUUGGCUCUUCAAUUUAAGACGCUCGGUAGAAGGAAAACUCUCCACCCACGAGCAGCUAACUCACUCAACGAUUCUAGUUCCUUGACAGAACCUGACCUUUCUAAAGACUCACCGCCCUAGAUACUUAGUUAAUCUCUUCAGCAGUUCCAGCACGCUGCCCAAAACGAGCACCAGCUCACCUCUAAUGCGUUUAGUUUCUUUAAGCUUAAUCAAAUGGGUGAUCUCUCCAGUUCACACCACAUGACCAGACUUUUCCAACUUGGAGGUCCCUCAAAGUGAUCUCUUUCAUUCAAGAAGGAGAGAGCUUUAAAGCCAACAUAUUUUCAAAGCUUUUCAAGCUGGACAAGAUUGAUCUUGGCAGGUUGACUUUAUCAAGGUUUGAAUCCACCAGAAAAGAUGGAAGUUGCGUGCAGGAUUGCAGGUCUAGUACAGACGAAGUUGGUUUUUAGAAGAGAAAGCGAACCUAACUGGGGGCACAGUUAUAUUCCUAAAAUACAACGUAAUUUCUUUCUAUUUAGACAAUCUCCCAAUCCACCAUAGGUCACAAGUCUGCACUAACUUUAAUCCUUAUGUAUAACCAGUGCCAGCUUGUUGAAUCAAUUCCAACAAAUUUGUCAGAUUUGAGAGGUUAGGAACCAGCUGCAACAUUGUAAAUACAUCAAACUCAUGGAAAGCUCUAACAACUCUUUGAUCACACGCUAUACUAAGUUCGAAUUUUCAAGGCAAGAAGCAGAUUCAUCGUACCUGGCAAACUGACAGUUCCUGUACGCCAUAAAUUUAGGAAUCUCAACAAGACAAUAUCCCGAGUUCGGCAGGGAUUUUGACCUCUAACACAGGACGACUAUAGGCAUGUAGCUCUUCCAAAUAUUCCAACAUUCCAAUAUUACUAGGAAACUCCCAUCGGUUUCCAAGUAUUGACAAUUCCAACACAUGGAAUGAUUUUAACUUUCUGAUGGAAUAGAAAGUAUCCUAAAGUUGGUGAAAGAAAGACGAGUACUCCAGCUUCACCAGCCCUUCAAUAGACUCCAGAAGUUCGGUGACUGGCGUGUGUGAUAUGCUGAGAGUUGACAAAACAGUUUAGUCCACUAAAAAGCAAUGGAUCACCGUGCUCCAUACAUAAGACUCUGUUCAAUGAUGCUAACUUACCAAAUUAGUCGAGGAGUUUCUUCUCCAAAAAACAUCCCUUUAAAGAGAAGCGCUUAAGAUUCACCAGCCCUCCACUUUCUUCAGGCAACUCUUUAGACGCCAGCAACUUUCAAUACCCAAGUCAGUCGAGCACUUCAGUUUUCCCGUUGAGCAGUCAAUUUCCAUCAAACUUGAGAGCAACCAGAAAAGUUUGGGGUUUUAGUCAUGCCAGAACAGUUUUUCAUCGUCAGAACUUACAAUCUGCAAAACAGAACAAUGAAUUGUAGAAGUGAAAUAUCAUCUAUAGAGGAUCAUAUAACUGAAGGAAAGAAAAAUAUAUACAUACUAGAAGAUAAUACACAACUAAAAAAAAAAAAAAAAAACGCUACAGGAUGAGACAAUUAGGCUUCAAGUAAACUCAUAAAAUACCUUAAGUUUGCUCCAUGCUUCAUUCUUUAAUGUAUACUGGCCACCCAAAAAUCUGGUUGAGGAAAAGCCCAAGAAAUCCAUCUUGAGUUUGAAAGUCAAUGGCUGAAAUCCCCAACAAAAAUUCCUCUGUCCAAUUUAAGGAACCUUAGUUGUCCAAAUUUAUACAUAUUUCCAACAGUAAAAUGGAAUCUUGGAAAACUAUGUGAGGCUAGAUGGAGUGCUUGCACAUUUUGUUUCCUCUGUGACAGUAAAAACUACUCUGUCCACAUUUCGUUUCCUCUGUCCACAUUUCACAGAGAAGAAGAAACGACUCAAAAGAAAGAUACUUAGUAAAAAAAAAUGUGUUGAUCGUUGUUGUUUUGCUUAUUUCCAGGAUCUGUUAGAGCUUUUUGAUGGACAAUUUCUCUUCCAAGAUCUCUUAGUUGGUCAUCCAUCCAGGACACCUCGUCAUUUUGAACCUUUAUUGAGGAUAUGCUUCUUGAUACCCAUUCUCGUCAAUGAAAAAGUAAGCAAUAUCUACAAAAACAUUUGUCAUCAGUCAGUACUUGAGGCGUCAAACUGAUCUCCAACUUUCCUGCAGUAUCCUCGUGAGGAACUUCACUGAAUUUAUCAUCUCUUUUCGUAUCUCCUUCCUUUUCCAACAAAGGAACAAACCUAACACUUCAAGAGCCAAAGAAAGUCUUCCAGUCAUGAAGACAACGUCUCUUGAAAGGAUGUGGCAGUCAUGUAAAGUAGUGUCUCUCUCGAAGGCAUACUUGCUGGAAAGCCACAGUCAAUGAUCAAAACUCUUUCCUCCAUUUCGUAAUCUAGAACGACUCACAUUAAUUCUUUAUUGUGCAAGACUUUUUAUUCCUAGUCAUAAUAACUUUAGAACCUGAACCACAAGGUACACUUGCCGACUAACUUCUGGACUUAUUCACUCUUGUCUACCUCAUCAAGAACAAUAAGGACCUUUUUGUGGAGUGUUUCUCCAAUCCUCUGCUCUCCAUAAUCAACAUCAUCAAUGUUGUUCGCUGCAGAAGAUUUACAAUAUCUGAUGAUAACCUUUUUUGCAACUUGAUUAUUCCUUCAUUUUUUGAUGACUUUUUCUUGGAUAUAUUCAAGGAAACUAUUGCACAUUCCAAAAUGAGGCGAUAGUUGAUUGAAAAUGACUUUGGCAAGAGUUGUUUUUCCUAUGCCUCCCAUUCCACGAACUAUGGCCAGCCAGAAACCACUUGCUUUGAUAUCUAAGAACUAUCCCAUAUCUGCCACUUCAUCAUCCAUUACGACUAAAUGCUCAGUUACAGACUUGUGUAUUGUCUUCGGCUUAUUCAAAACCACCCCAACGACAAGUUUGAUCAGUCCUCUUUGGCUGUCACAAUUAAUUGCAAACCAGUUUUAGUGGGAAAAGAUCAUUAUACAUCCGUUCAUGUUUGUACUCGCUUUAUUUACUUUUCCUUUUCCAAAUUUACUUUUCCUUUUCCAAGUAAAAGACCAGGGAUUAAAAAAAGAAAAAAGAAAAAAGGUUAAAACAGCAGAAACUAAGCAAAACACGAAAACGUCACAUGUACUAAACAAUAGAAAUCCUGAUUACUACAAUUUUUUUUUUCUGACGGGUAAAGCUGCUUAUCAAGAACAUGUGUUCUAUGAAAAAGAAAAAAGUGAGGAGCUCACCCAUCAUCCUUUAUCAGAUUCAUCUCUUUAAUUCAUCGACUUCUUGAAGAGCCUUUCGACAAGCCUCAACCUCAAGAAUACUCAACUACCUCAAGAAUACUCAACUUCUACUCUUGCUCCAAUUUCAAUAAGGCAUCACAGUAGAAUGGAGUUUUAAAUUUGACAUCCUUGGGUUCCACAUGAUAGAAAAUGGGAAGAAUCUCUUUCAACCCCUCCAAUUUAGAAGUUCGUUGCACCAUGCCUUUGAGCUUGCAGAGGCAUCAAUGGCUAGAAGCUAUGUAGAUGAUGCAAUUCUCUAUCGCACAGGGAAGUUUUCUUUCAUUUUUUUUGCCAGCUUGGAAUUCAUCGUUGUCUCUAAAAACACAAAAGCCAACGUCCACCAAGCCAUGGUAGAGGCAAUUGGUGAAUCCAUGGCAAGAGUCUGAUCUUCUGAAGCUCAAAAACACUUGGUACUCGCCUCCAAACACAUCCGUCGCUACUCAUUCCAGACUCUAAAAGUUUGCAGAGAUCAGCCUCCAAGUGUAUCAUAAGUCAUCACUGCUUAUUGUUUGUUUGGCAGCUUGAGUUAUAUACUGUCUUUCUAAUAUUUUCCAUGUUAGCAACUGGUGAAGAUAUUCCCUUAACUAUACGUAAUAAUACUACUCAAAGUGGUUUUGUUAAGUAGAUUACUUUAGAUAAAGCUACCUUGGAUCAUAAGAGAGUAGGAGAAGGCAGGAAAGCAAAGAUUUGGCAGGCCAACUUGAUUAUCUACUCUUCCAGUGUAUCACAGUGCAGAUACCACACACUAAGGUGGAAGAUAACGGCAGAACAUGAUUCUGUCAAGAUGAACCCUGAAGACAACAAAAUACAUAAGACACUACACAAUAGCCAAUACACUGAAAGAGAAAGGGUCACAAAAGCAGAACACUUAAGUCUUGCAUUAUAUACUAAAAAAGGGACAUAUAAUACAGUUCUUUUUCAAAUGGCCAAGUUGCUUGGACCACAUGUCCAAACUUUGGAAGUAAAUAUGGGCCUUAUAUGAAUAAAAAAACGUCAAGCGACGAGAACCCAAUAGCCAGUCUUAUAAUGAGUUGAAAUCAGGCAGAGUCCCACAUUGACCAGGAGCACAAGCACCUCAGUUUAUAUUGUCCAAGCAGGAUGGUCAAGAUUGUUAUUUUCGAGAUAUUCUAUACAGGUGGCGUGAAUUCUGGAUGCACUAUUUCAAUAUCUCCAUUUUACUGUUCUCAUUCCAUCUAAAAAGAUUCCAGCUAUAGGUGCCGUGUGCAAGGAGGAAUGGUACGGACGGAUCUUGCAUUGCGUUGCGACAUGAUCCAACUAUUGGGAAAGAACAAAAUGGUUGCUCUCGCUGAAGUUGUUUUCUCAGGACUUCUGAAAGAAGGGGUUGAACCUGACUCAAGGGCUUAUGCCGAGAGGAUUGGAACAUAUCUAAGGGUGGACAUGAUUGAUAAGGGAAUGCAGACUUAUGAGAAGACGAAAAGCAGCUGGUUGUACCUCAAACGAAUUUACCCUGAUGAUUCUGAUAAGAAAUCUAGAGAAGGCCGGAGAAAAAGAUCUGGUGGAGUUUGUGAAGAGAGAUUGUGUUGAAUAUUUGGACUCUCCUGAGAAGUUCCUAGAAGAAGUUUGAAAGAAAUACGUAGGAUUUCACUCUUCCAUGCUCAUUCUAGCAUUAUGUUCUCUAUAUGCCUUUCUUUCUGCAUGGGCUUCUCUCUGAUCCUUCCUGUCUUCAGCAGCUCUGGGAUUAUCUUUUGAUGUAAGUGCUCAUGUCUCUUGGAUGUUGUCUGGAGAUGAAUUUCCUUUAACGCCUGUCAUCAUUGCUCAAAAAUGAACGUUUGAUGCAACAUGAACUAGAGCUUUAUACUCUUGGCUUGUUUAAGUAGGAGUUUUGGACAUACUACCCCUAACAGCAGUACUUUCUGGUCGGUGGUCCAAUUUGUUUUUUGCUUUCUUUGAGAGAUGUUUUGCUUCCGUGCAUGUUCUACAUUUAUACUAAGAAUGCAUUCCUUCUUUUCAUCAAUGAUUGGUUAUAACAAAUUAUUGGGAUGUAUGACGCAAUUUUGUUGUUUGAGUCCAAUGUUCCAUUCACUAAUGAAAACUUCCUGUGGCUGAGAGAAGUAUUAUUGCAUCGACUCUAGCUUUUACCAUCCUUUCGCUUUCUUGAUGCUUGAACUUUACUUUUGACAUAUCUUCACUUGAAACUUGGCCUCUUGAAGAUGAAGUUCUUAACUUCUGUUCUUUUUCUUUUACAGCCAAAGAGGAGAUCGUUUGAUCUUGUUUGAGGACUUACAGCCGUGCGAGCAUUGGGCAGCUAGAAGUUCUGCUCCUAGUUGUAGUGAUAACUCUAGAACCUGAAGCACAAGGUUAACUUGUUGAAAAACUUCUGGACUUGCUUACUCUUUUCCACAUCAUCGAAGACCUUUUUUUGCAGAGUGUUUCUUCAAUCCUGUGCUCUCCAUAAUCAACGUCAUCAAUGCUGUUCGCUGUAGAAGAACUUAUAAUAUUGACUUUUUUUGUAACGUGACUAUUUCUUCAUCUCUUGAUAACUUUUUUGAUAACUUUUUCUUGGAUGUCUAGUCACUUCAUCUCUUAAUAACAUUUUCUUGGAUGUCUUCAAGGAACUACUGCACAUUUCAAAGCGAAGUAACAGUNNNNNNNNNNNNNNNNNNNNNNNNNNNNNNNNNNNNNNNNNNNNNNNNNNNNNNNNNNNNNNNNNNNNNNNNNNNNNNNNNNNNNNNNNNNNNNNNNNNNNNNNNNNNNNNNNNNNNNNNNNNNNNNNNNNNNNNNNNNNNNNNNNNNNNNNNNNNNNNNNNNNNNNNNNNNNNNNNNNNNNNNNNNNNNNNNNNNNNNNNNNNNNNNNNNNNNNNNNNNNNNNNNNNNNNNNNNNNNNNNNNNNNNNNNNNNNNNNNNNNNNNNNNNNNNNNNNNNNNNNNNNNNNNNNNNNNNNNNNNNNNNNNNNNNNNNNNNNNNNNNNNNNNNNNNNNNNNNNNNNNNNNNNNNNNNNNNNNNNNNNNNNNNNNNNNNNNNNNNNNNNNNNNNNNNNNNNNNNAUGUAGUACUAGGUUAAAAUAUCCACUGCAUCAUUAGUUUUACAAACUUGGCUCGUGUUUGACUAGAUGGCCCUAUAGCUAAAGGUCUUUAAAUUAACCUGUCAAUGCAGAAAAAAGUAAAGCUUUCAUUCGAAGACUUUGAGUAACUUGAGGCGAGGGUUGAAAUCAUUCCCAAGAGUCGAGACACCGGAUAGCGAUCAGUGCAUGAAUAAGUUAUAUUGGCAUGUAGAGGGAAAGUGGAAGCAACAGAUGAAGAUAAGAGGUACAAAUGAAACUGGACGUUGUUAUGAAAAAACAUGCUUUCACUUGCUAAUUUACUCCCAAAGCUCUAAGCUGGUAAGAAAUAGGCUCCAGUUCCUGUUGGAAGCAAAUGACAUGACAUAAAGUAGACAGACAUCUUGCUCGUUGAAGACAUGACAUUAAUAAGAAAAACCAUGACACUCCAUCAAUGGAUUUAUUUAUAGAGUUAAAAAGAGAAUCCUUCCAUAACAUAGAUGUCCAUAAAAGUUAUAAGAUUUAAAAAAAGAAAAGAUGAAAUUUCAAAGAUUCUUCUAUAUGAAGCUAAAAGUUAGAUGUUUACUGUAGCUUACCAAAGAAUUGUAGAAGAGACGUGAAAAGCAUGACUAAAAAAAUUGCAAGUCAAAUUAAGCAGAACUCACGCUUUGACUCCUUCUAUUGAUCCUUUAGAAGCCCUUCCAGGAUCAUCCUCAGAUAUCUUGCAUAGCUUCCCAUGCAUAAUACAUUCAUACUUGUCAGCAAUGGAUUUCCUAUUACCC